AAGAACUUGACACCUAAAUGGUGACAAUGCUAAUAAAUUAGCGUCGUGUGAGACGAGUUAUUGAAGCAUUAAAAAAGUCCAGGGAGAAAAUACAGGAAAAGUCAAUAUAGAAUAUCAACUCUCAUUUUGCUAUUACAUCAAUGCAUGUAAUUACGCAUUCAUGGACACUUUCAUGCUCAUCGAUAAACAGUAGAUUUUCAUUAUUUUGGAGUAUCUAGUCCAGUACAAUCUCUGUAAAUUGUAAAAGCGCUAAACAAUUCAAAUUGAAGGACCAGGAUAAGAAUUUUAUAAACAUUAUCCCCUACUAGUCACACUAACAAAAUGGUUGAUAAAAUUUGAACCCCUUCAUUUCACAAAUAGUAAUGCUGUUAAAAUAGAAAAUCAGUCAUGUUGCAAAUAAUAAGUAGCAUUUUGAAAGAUGUGCUGCAAAAAUGCUCCUUUUUU
rnacentral:misc_RNA from 1 species